CCUACGGGUGGCAGCAGUGAGGAAUAUUGGUCAAUGGGCGGAAGCCUGAACCAGCCAAGUAGCGUGCAGGAUGACGGCCCUACGGGUUGUAAACUGCUUUUAUACGGGAAUAACGCGCCUUACGUGUAGGGCUUUGCAUGUACCGUAUGAAUAAGGACCGGCUAAUUCCGUGCCAGCCGCCGCGGUAAUACGGAAGGUCCGUGCGUUAUCCGGAUUUAUUGGGUUUAAAGGGAGCGUAGGCCGCAUGUCAAGCGUGCUGUGAAAUGUCCGGGCUCAACCCUGGCCUUGCAGCGCGAACUGGCGUGCGUGAGUACGCGGAAAGCAGGCGGAAUUCGUCGUGUAGCGGGGAAAUGCUUAGAUAUGACGAAGAACCCCGAUUGCGAAGGCAGCUUGCUGCAGCGGAACUGACGCUGAUGCUCGAAAGCGCGGGUAUCGAACAGGAGUAGAUACCCGAGUAGUC
rnacentral:rRNA from 1 species